GAACUGAACCAGAGUCAGCUUGCUCCAGUGUGCAUAUGGCAUGAGCACUUUGGGAAGCUGAAACAGGAGGAUUGCCUGAGCCCAAGAGUUCAAGACCAGCGCUGGCAGCAUACCGCCACGUAAGAUGCCCCUUUGCUCUUCCUUCAUCUUACGCCAUGAUUGUGAGGCCUCCCCAGGCAUGUGGAACUGUUGGUUUUUCUGGAAGCAGAUGCUGAGAUGCAGUUUGGAGUACAAGAUGUUUAUUAAAGAUCAACACCUGAGGAAGAAAGAUAAGGAAAAGAAGAACUGGGCAGAAAAAGAAGUCCAUCUGUGAGGAAACCUUGGCAAGACCUUGGCUAACCCUCUGUGGCGCUCCAGAGCACAUAUGGCCUACCAGAGCAAUCCCAGGCCAGCUGAAGCUUGGGUUAGGACCAGUCCAGAUGGAAUUUCCUUGGGAAAGGGAAGUGUUGGAAGAGAAGAGAAAAGUGGAAUGGAUACUGGGAAGGAAGUACCUGGAAAAGCACAUUAAGGAGAAGAACACAAUUACCACCUCACUUCUAUUUUAUGCCACUGUCAAUGCCAGUAUUUGGAGGAAGUUCAAGCUAAAUUACUGAAAUGAUUUUGAUUGUUCCGGCAUUAUGUUCUCAACACCUAAAUGGCCAAUCAGAUAACUGUAUUCAUCUGUAAGUUGGAUUAGAUAUUAACUUAAAAUAAUUCUAGCCAUAAUCUUUUAUUAUAGUGAUUCUUAAACUUUAUGGAUUACAAACCGCUUUGAGAAUCUCCACAAGCAUUAUGAACUCUCUCUCCACAAAAAUGUAUAUAUACGCUUAUUGAUUCAGAGAAAACAUCAUUUUAGCAGCCGUGAGCACUCCUCUUAAGGAGAGAUUCAUCUUUGUUGCAAAGGAUGUGAAAAGUGAAGCUUUAACCAAAACCACCAAAACUGAUAGACAUAUAAUUCCAAAGUCAGAUCACUAUUUGCAGACUUUCUGAAGGAUGUGGUUGGAAACUGGUUCCACCAAUGCUCAUUUCCUUCACUCACUUGGAGACAAUAAAAGGAUAAGAUUUGGGUUCAGGAGAGAUUCCUUUGGAGAGAGUUGUUACCUCGCUGUGAGCUGAAACCUGUGUCCAUGCCCAGGGGUCUGGAAUUACUGUGUCCUCACCCUUCAUCAGGGAGGGGCUUCCACAUGAUGAGGAAAUGUAUUCUAUGAGGUUGAGAAAAACAAAAGCCAAAAAGGCUGAAGAGCCUGGGGGCAGCAGGACAGAGGAGCCAUUUGGGAUCACAGCCAGGUGUGGAGGGUGAGCUGCGCACAACCAGACACAGGCUGCAGCAGACAGAGAGUUACUGGAGAUAUUUCAAGUCCUACUCAAGAGGACCCCAGAAGAGAAAUAGGCAUGUAUGGAGUGGAUGCCCAUGCCCCAGGGCUGAGGGCUGAGGCCACUGUGGGGCCCGGAAGAUUUCACAGGAUGACAGAAUGGCAGGGAGAGUGUCCGGUAAUGGUCGGCAGUGCCAUCCCCUCAUUCCUGAGAGUGAGUCCAUCCAGGUGAGAACUGUCCCAUCCCCUCUCCUCUCAUCCCAAAUUCUCUUAACUCCCAGUGGAGUCCAAAAAGGCAGCCAGGGAGAGAAGCGGCAGAUGAGGGUGGAAGAGAGAACGGAAGCCAACCACAGUCCUGUCUCCAGACUCAGGCCUCAGCAUGGGAAGGGUGCAGAAUGAAUGUAUGAACAGCUGAAUGCAGGCUGAAAGGUUGAUGACAAUGGAAUUGAGACUGUGUUUUUGACUCAGAGAGGCCAAAGGCUUAACAUUACUUAAGAGAGAGGUGAAGUUCAUGGCAUCUGGCCAAGUUUCCGUUGAGGGUCAGAGGAAG
rnacentral:lncRNA from 1 species